CCCGGGGCCCGGAACCCUGCGCUGCGCCUAUGGAAUGUAGGAGCCCCGACGGGGCGGGUGGCACGUGCCUUGCAGGGCGCCGGGGUCUCUUGGUGGCGCGGUUGCGGCCCACCGGGACAUUGGUCAGGGGCCCCCUGGUGCCUGAGCCCAGAGCAGCUCAGAGCUGGCUGCCUCUGCCCGACCCCGCGGCCCUGGUGUGGUCGGCGACCUCAGCCCAUGGUUCACCCCCGGGUUGGAUGCCACAAUUUCCGCGUCCGGCCACACUGGGCGUCAGAGGAGGGGUGCACGCGGAGAAAACCCUGCACAGAUCCCGAUGCUCCCUUCGUGUGCUGCUUGGUACAGGGAGCCAGAAUCAAUUCUGAAAAGAGUCAGGAGAGGCCCCACAUGCACUGCGUUACAUUGCCAUUCCCAGCAGCUCCAAAGCAACAGUCUCCAUCUUCCAGUCCUGCGAGUGGUUAUCCCCCUGAGACUUCUUUUUUAAUUAAAGAUUUAUUUAUUUUUA
rnacentral:lncRNA from 1 species